UGAGGAAUAUUGGGCAAUGCCCGCAAGGGUGACCCAGCAACGCCGCGUGGAGGAUGAAUGUCGUAAGAUUGUAAACUCCUGUUAGAGGGGAAGAAUAGUACCGGUUGGACCGGUAUAUGACUGUACCCUCAGAGAAAGCCCCGGCUAACUACGUGCCAGCAGCCGCGGUAAUACGUAGGGGGCAAGCGUUGUCCGGAUUUACUGGGUGUAAAGGGCACGCAGGCGGGAUAAAAAGUCAGUGGUGAAAUCCUACAGCUUAACUGUAGAACUGCCUUUGAUACUUUUAUUCUUGAGUUCGGGAGAGAGAGACGGAAUUCCAGGUGUAGUGGUGAAAUACGUAGAUAUCUGGAAGAACACCAGUUGCGAAGGCGGUCUCUUGGUCCGACACUGACGCUGAGGCGCGAAAGCGUGGGGAGCAAACA
rnacentral:rRNA from 1 species